CUCGAUCCCUUUUUUUCCUCUCCAUCUAUCUCCCUCUCUUUGUGCUAGGGCUCAAGGUAUGGUAUGGCGAUGGCUUAUCAGAUAGGAGAUUCGAGCAGCAACUACUCUCUGAUCUCAAAAGGAGGAGGUCGUUGGGGUCAUUUCCAAUGGUGUGGAGCUCCAUCGUUUGCGCUGAACGGUUCUGACACCGGCUGAGAUUUGUCUGAUCUGAGCAUCCAUAUUCUUUGCAUGUCUUUUUGGUUGUCAGAGAGUCCAAAGGGGAAAAAUAAUUUGUAUACAUUAACGCAUUUACAAUGACUAAUAUGUGAAAGAUGAGGCUCAACAUCAUUUGAACUAUUUCAUGUAAUUAGCGAUUAAAUCUUAAAUUUUUGUUUAAGGCAGAAGAGGAGAGUUCUGAAAUAAUUCAGUUACCAACAUGGUAUUGUAUGUUUAGUUUUCCAUUAUGUGCCAGAUUUUCCAAAAAAAUAAUGGUGGAAAUUCUGCUACAAAUUUGCUUAUGUAUAUGCUAAACAUGAGAUAUAGAAUAACAUGGAGAUUUAACUAGAUAGAAGAUUCUGCAAUAAUUAUUUUGCAUUUCCUGCAGAUUAGUCAUAAUAGAACUCUUGAAGUGAUCAUUUGUAAUUGGCAUUCCCUCAACAGUGCAGAUAUAAUGUGUAGGGUAUUUAUUUUAUAUGAAUUUGUUGUUCUCUGAUGUGUGCAGUUUCCAAUCACAAUGACGAGCUGUAUAGAUAUGAGUAUUGUUUGCCCUUCAGUGUAUGUUCCAUGAAUUUACAUGGGUCGCACCUUCAGUCCUAGGACAGCAAACCAAAGCGUAUUGGCACAUUGAGAACCGCGAAAAACUGUUGAGAGGUGGAAGAGGAGACCCACGACAGCGCGUCGCAAAUCUGACCGACGCUUGUGCAGUGACCGCCUCUCCUUGGCAUCACUUGAAAAGAGAAAGUGGAACGGUGAUGCAUCACCGGAGAGGAUGCUGAGGAUUAUCUUGCCAUGUGCAUGCUUGGCUGCUAGGUAUCUUGCUAGGGCCUGCUCAUUCAUUGGUGGAGAGUCUCACCAGGAAUUUAUAAACCUUCUUCUAAUGGGUAUGUGGUUCAUUUCAUCUUCCUUAACCGUAAUUUACUUUCAAUUCAUGAUGUUAAUCAUGAGAGAGGAUUCGACUGUCAUGUUGCCUUUGUGGCAUCAAAUUCCCUAUGUGAUCCAGCAAAUUUAUCAAAAUGAUGAGGUAUACUUUCCUUAUCUCUGAAUUUUCACUAUUUAUUUGAAGCUUGUAAUUACCAGGUGCUAUUAAUUAGCUAAAUAUUAUCUUCUGGAUGUCUUCUUGAUUCAGGUGCAUACGUAUGUUUGAAAUACCUUUUAAACAUUUUAAACUUCUAAAGUUUAUUGCUGAUGUUCUCUUCCCAUCAGGGAAGCAACAUGCAUAUACACAAAACAAAUCAGCCAUUUUCAAGAAUAAGGAUGGUAAAGCUUGUGUAGUGAUAUUUUCUUAUCACACAGGGAUCUUUGAAUUGAGGUAGUUACAAAAUUUCAUGUUUUUUCGUUGCCAUGCUACAUUUCUCGAUGAACAUGCUGCCAUGUUGCCUUUAAGAUUACAUAUUGGAAUAAUGUAGUGACUUAUAUACAUAUUAUCAAAGUAUGAUGGUGGAAAAUGGUUCCUUCUUUAUGUUUGUUCAUACAAGUUUCUACUGACUUCUCUUUCAUUCAUUCAUUCUUUCUUGUUUUCACAUGCUUUUCAAAAUUUGGACUGCUGGUACUUAAUAAAUGAAAGAUAUCGAGCUAUUUACUCAUCAUUUUUUUAUUGUUCUACAACUUGGCUAAUAAAACUAUAAAUUGCAGCCUGCUAAUACUACCAUCAUCACACUUUUUCACUUGCCUGUGAGGUACGUGAUGACGAAUCUCUUGGUAAUAUUGGUUUAUCAUAGAUAAAACAAACAAUGUUUUUGUUGGAGAAUCUUCAUAAUAUCCUCACAGAUUUUAAAAGGAUACUUUUGGAUAUCAUCAUUUGUUACUUGUAUGCAUGCAAGUGCCUGGUGAAGCUUGCUCAGCAGUAUCUAACUUUAUCAAAUGCAUGUUUGCAUCCUUUUGUUCUAAUGUGUAUUCUUCUGCAUGGUUCAGUUUUUGACUCCACAAAGAAUAGAUACGUUCAGAUUGGUUGCCCAUAUACAUGUUUGUAUUUUCCUAAGAUGAAAAGUUAAGGGGAUUAUUUUUUAUUUUAGCCUGGUUAUCAGCGUGCAAUUUCCCUGCUGCAUGCUCAUAUGUGAUAUUUGUUCAUGUGUUGCAUAUAUAUGAUCCUCCAGCUUGCAUAUCUAUAUUUUGCCACAAGCAGACAUUUUAUUCCACAAGCAGAGCAUUAUAGGUUGGCAGUAGCU